UACAGAGGUCCCGAGCGUUGUUCGGAUUCACUGGGCGUAAAGGGUGCGUAGGUGGUGAGAUAAGUCGGAUGUGAAAUCUCCAAGCUCAACUUGGAAAUGGCAUUGGAAACUACCUUGCUGGAGGUUUGGAGGGGGGACUGGAAUUCUCGGUGUAGCAGUGAAAUGCGUAGAUAUCGAGAGGAACACCAGUGGCGAAGGCGAGUCCCUGGACAAAACCUGACACUGAGGCACGAAAGCUAGGGGAGCAAACAGG
rnacentral:rRNA from 1 species